rnacentral:miRNA from 3 species
UAGCUGCCUAGUGAAGGGC